rnacentral:rRNA from 1 species
UACAGAGGUUUCAAGCGUUGUUCGGAUUUAUUGGGCGUAAAGGGUGCGUAGGCGGCUUCGUAAGUCUGGUGUUAAAUCUCGGAGCUUAACUCCGAAACUGCAUUUGAUACUGCGGUGCUUGAGGACUGGAGAGGAGACUGGAAUUUACGGUGUAGCAGUGAAAUGCGUAGAGAUCGUAAGGAACACCAGUGGCGAAGGCGGGUCUCUGGACAGUUCCUGACGCUGAGGCACGAAGGCCAGGGGAGCAAACGGG